UACUGCCUCUGAUCUGGAGGACUCACUAAACACAUUCUUUGUUUGUAAAUUAUGUGUGAGUGUUGGAGUGUGCCCCUGGCUAUCCGUAAAUGUCAACAAAAAAAAUUGGUGCCCUCUGGUUUUUCUUAAUGUAAGGAAUUUGACGUUUUACUUUUGAUACUUAAGUACAUUUUAUCAAUUACAUUUACUUUUGACACUUAAGUAUAUUUAAAACCAAAUACUUUUAUACUUCUACUCAAGUAGUAUUUUACUGGAUGACUUUCACUUUUACUUGAGUAUGAUAAUUUGGGACUUUUCCACCACUGCAAUUGAGUGCAGGAAAUGCUGAAAUUAUAAAAGUGCUCAUUAAAAUCACUUACAAUGUAUGUGUUGCCACCCUAGGACUACUCAUUAAGCAAAUGUAGAACACUUAUUAUUCAAAACUCAAAAAUACCGUCUUAUUUAAAAAUUAAUAAAAAAUAUCGUUAUAUAAUAUUUUGGCCAUUUCACCUAGUCUCACACCAAUUUUUCAGUUUGUGCUCCAAAAUCCAUUUUGCUCUCGCAACUGUUUACUAUAAUUUUAUAACCAGUGGAAAUUCUAGCCAAUGAACAUAGCCUGUAGCAGUCUACUGAAACGCAAUUGGUCUGGUUUUUGGACAAAUCACGGCUUGACUGCGCUCUAACCGGAUGUUUUACCAUAGAGAUGAAACGAAGGCUGACCAUCAUGAAAAGGUAAGUAUGAUAGUUUUUCAGUAGAGAAUUAGCUUAUCAACUAGCUCGCUAAUCGACUAUGAUUUCAAAAUUGAAAUAGUAAGUAGUUAUUUAUUCUCUUAUAAAAGCAGGCUAUUGACGAGGCAAGCUAGGUUAACGUCAGCUAGCUAGGAAGCUAACUAGCCAAAGUUAACAUUUAAACGUGGUUUAACUAAAGCCAAGGUGGUUUUGUUUUCUAUACCAUCUCUGGCUAAGUCAAGGAGGGGUUUAGAAGAGGAGGAAGACUUGGAAGACCAGCAUGGGUGGCAGAAGAGGGAGGAGAGGCAGGGUGAGAACAGACAGGGAUGACCUUCACUGGGGAAGAGGUCAGUGAUUGAGGAGAGGGAGCCAAGAGAUGUCAGACUUUGAACCAAAUAAUAGCCAAUAUUGUAAACCGCUAACUGCAUACUUUGAGAUACAAAUCUUUUUUAAUCAGAUUGUUAACUUUUACUCUGUCAGUUUUUGCACAGUUACAAUAAAUGAGAAUGACCUCAAACCGUUUCUCUCAUUGCUCUUUCCAUCCAGAUCCACUGUCAUGAAUUUAUUCUCUGCUCAGCUGACAAGAUACAAGAUCCAUUCUGUUCCAAGACACAGGUCGUGUGUGUGUGUGUGUGUGUGUGUGUGUAGAGAGAGAACACAUUUGACGAGGUGGAGUCUGGCUUCUACUUCAUCUCCCUGGACUACUACACAACUCAGCACAUAUGUGUUGCUCCACCUUCCCCAGUGACCUACUUUUGUUUACUUUUUAACAAUGUCUAUGGAUCGUAAAAUAAUUUUAUGUUGGGACUUCAAAUCCACGCUAAAUGUAAUUCUAUGUCCUGUAUUGUUCUGCACUCUCUAAAGAUUAUGCUAAUGCCCCACUGUAAGAACCUGGAGAAACUGGUUCUGAGGGAGGUGACAUGGUCACAAAGAGUGCCUGGGGCACUUUCCAGCUCUACGGCUGUCUGGACAACAGCCAGAGUGUGGUCAGCUCUGCUGCACCUGAGAGCUAAAGGUAUGUCACCACACUCCCAACAGUCAUGUAUGCUCAUUUAUGUGUUUCUUAAAGUGGCGAUCAGCAGUUGAAACAAUUUAAAAAUGUACUCCCUACCCAUUUUGGCAAAAAGCUGAGGAAUGGACCUAGAGAAAUUUGACCACUCUCAAAUUCAUAAACAGAGUUAUGGAUGCAAGGACUGACCAUCACGCCUCCUUCUAAAACCCUAUUAGAGGAGACAACCCAAGGUUCCUCGCCUCAGAUCCCCCUCCAAUGGGUUUUGACAAGGAUGUGAGUAGAGAGGAAGUGAGGAGUUGAGCAGAGAUUAAUUGGGACAGAGCUCGUCAUUGUUUUAGGUGGAAACUUAUAUUGAAUGAUAUGUUUAUUCUGUUUGCACUUAUCUUUGUUCUACUUGUGCUCUUUGCACAGAUGGCUCUGGCUUGCUCAUAACAUCUGAUCUGACACCCUAUGCAAUUUUUAUCCUGUAUUACUGACUGUAUUCAAUACAACUGCAAAUGUCAAAUUGAAAUAAUUUUAGAUUCUGUAAUUAAUAGACAAUGGUAGUUCCCAAUCAGAAAAUGACGGUCUGCUGAGAAUGUCAUUGGCUGCAACCUGCCCUCCAUCAAGGUCCUGCACGACUCCAGGGAAAGGAAGGCUGGAGUAAAGAUCAUCGCCAAACCCUCCCACUUCCAAAGUUUCCCCUCUGGCAAACGGUUCAGGUCAAUCAUGACCAAAACCUCCUGAACAGUUUCUUCCCCCGUGCUGUGGGCCUCACUAACCGGUCACCUAGUCCAUGAUGAUCUUCUCAUCCAUGGAUGUCUCACUCUGCACUAUUCAUUCAGUGACUAUGCACCCUGCACUAUCAUUCCAGAACUGCACAUUGCUCUUUGUACUCUGCACAUUUCUUACAUGCAUAAUUUAUAAUGUAGCAUAUAGUGUUCAUAGUGUACAUCCUGUAUGUGGAUCUUUGGAAAUUCUGCAUCUAUAUAUAUUUUGUUCUGUAUAUUCUGUUUAUUGUGGCAGCACCAUUUCACAGUCAAAUUCCUCUACAUACAAAUGUAUUCUGCCAUGUUAACCUGAGUUUAGUUGGUUUAUCAUGUCAGUUGGAGUUUACAUUAUAUUAUUUGGGACUGGUUAUGUACUGUAGCAGGUAACAGAUUAUACCCUUUGUCUUCAUAUAAUAAAAAAUCCUGUGUGUGUGUCCUUGGGCUUAAUACCCUAAA